AGAAGAAGAAGAAAUAUCGUUUAGAAUUAUCUUUUGCUAGAUAAGACCGGUGGCGAUAGCAAGGUGUCAUCGCCGAUGGUGGUCUCACACGUUCUGUUUCCCUCUUUACUGCGAGGGAACCUGAAGCUUAUAUAACCCGCAGCGCUACCAAGGCAGGGAGGAGAGCCAUCCUGGAGGCUAGCGUGAGCAACAUCGACGGACGGGUUCCUUCGGCAGCUUACGGCAGUGGUCUACUACAGGAAACUACGAUCAGUCAUGCUUGCCAAGAGGAAUUCUAGCUCCCUCGACAGUGCCGCGAACGAACCUGCGGCACAGGACCUGCUACAGCAGCUGUCUUCCACUCCGUAUGCUUCCCCAAAUAGUUCGGCAGCACAUCCACAGUCCUCGGACACCCGCUGCGCAGGAAGUUGACGGUAGAGACGCUUUCCAGCCACAGCGACCUAUGGUCAGUAGACUUCAUAGACUUGGAACGGCCAUGCGAGUCACCGAGGACGUCGUCCUGCGUAGGGUGCUGUCCGCCGAUACUGACUGCCUUUCCGGUGACAUUUUGCACUUGCCAGACCUUUGAAAAAGGUGGGAGUGUGGUAAUAGGAAGGAGUUAUCGCUUAAAGUCCCCCAUCUUAAACAUGGUGUCCCUUCUCUAGUGCGAGGGAACCUGAAGCUUGUCCAGCCGUGGCUGGAAAACAAACGUCUUCACUAGUGUUGCUGCAGAGGACAGAUUACGACGCAGUGGUUUUCUACAGGAAACUGUCGUGUAUGCAAAUAAACAUGCUGUUGUUGGUUA